AAGAGCAGCUAUUUCACCCUGCAACUCACAACUGGCAACUCACUGAAGCUGAGCAGGUGUGAGCCUGAUCAGUACCUGGAUGGGAGACCUCCUGGGAAAGCUAGGGUUGCUCUAG
rnacentral:rRNA from 1 species